GACACGCUGGCGGCGUGCCUAACACAUGCAAGUCGAGCGGAGUCGAUCGACGGAAGCCUUCGGGCGGAAGAUGGUUGACUUAGCGGCGGAUGGGUGAGUAACGCGUGGGCAACCUGCCUCGAAGACCGGGAUAACAGCCCGAAAGGGCUGCUAAUACCGGAUGUGGUCAAAGAUCCGCAUGGAUUUUUGAUUAAAGGGGAAACCCGUUUCGAGAUGGGCCCGCGUCCUAUCAGCUAGUUGGUGAGGUAAAAGCUCACCAAGGCGACGACGGGUAGCCGGCCUGAGAGGGUGACCGGCCACACUGGAACUGAGACACGGUCCAGACUCCUACGGGGGGCAGCAGUGGGGAAUCUUCCACAAUGGGCGAAAGCCUGAUGGAGCGACGCCGCGUGAGCGAAGAAGGCCUUCGGGUUGUAAAGCUCUGUCUGGAGGGACGAAGGAAGUGACGGUACCUCCGGAGGAAGCCACGGCUAACUACGUG
rnacentral:rRNA from 1 species